GGGUUGUGAGGUUAAGCGACUAAGCGUACACGGUGGAUGCCCUGGCAGUCAGAGGCGAUGAAGGGCGUGCUAAUCUGCGAUAAGCGCCGGUAAGGUGAUAUGAACCGUUAUAACCGGCGAUACCCGAAUGGGGAAACCCAGUGUGAUUCGUCACACUAUCAUUAACUGAAUCCAUAGGUUAAUGAGGCGAACCGGGGGAACUGAAACAUCUAAGUACCCCGAGGAAAAGAAAUCAACCGAGAUUCCCCCAGUAGCGGCGAGCGAACGGGGAGGAGCCCAGAGCCUGAAUCAGCAUGUGUGUUAGUGGAAGCGUCUGGAAAGGUGCGCGAUACAGGGUGACAGCCCCGUACACAAAAGCGCAUGUGCUGUGAGCUCGAUGAGUAGGGCGGGACACGUGGUAUCCUGUCUGAAUAUGGGGGGACCAUCCUCCAAGGCUAAAUACUCCUGACUGACCGAUAGUGAACCAGUACCGUGAGGGAAAGGCGAAAAGAACCCCGGCGAGGGGAGUGAAAAAGAACCUGAAACCGUGUACGUACAAGCAGUGGGAGCACAGGUUUACCUGUGUGACUGCGUACCUUUUGUAUAAUGGGUCAGCGACUUAUAUUCUGUAGCAAGGUUAACCGUAUAGGGGAGCCGGAGGGAAACCGAGUCUUAAC
rnacentral:rRNA from 2 species